rnacentral:rRNA from 1 species
GUGUCAGCAGCCGCGGUAAUACGGAGGGUGCGAGCGUUAAUCGGAAUUACUGGGCGUAAAGGGUGCGUAGGUGGUUUGAUAAGUUAUGUGUGAAAUCCCUGGGCUUAACCUGGGAAUUGCAGAUAAGACUGUUGGACUUGAGUAUAGGAGAGGGUAGUGGAAUUUCCGGUGUAGCGGUGAAAUGCGUAGAGAUCGGAAGGAACACCGGUGGCGAAGGCGGCUACCUGGCCUAAUACUGACACUGAGGCACGAAAGCGUGGGUAGCAAACAGGAUUAGAUACCCCUGUAGUCC